GUACAAAUUUUUGACGUGUCAAAAUGACACGUCAAAAUAUUUUUGACGUGCCAUUUUGACACGUCAAAAAUAUUUUUGAUGUGCCAUUUUGACACGUCAAAAAUU